rnacentral:rRNA from 1 species
AAGAGGGGAACAAGAAGGGGAAGGUAUCAUCGGGCGUAAAGCGCGCGCAGGCGGCUUGGUAAGUCAGAUGUGAAAUCCCUGGGCUUAACCCAGGAAGUGCAUUUGAUACUGCCUCGCUUGAGUACGGGAGAGGAAAGUGGAAUUCCUGGUGUAGAGGUGAAAUUCGUAGAUAUCAGGAGGAGCACCGGUGGCGAAGGCGACUUUCUGGCCCGAUCCUGACGCUGAGGCGCGAAAGCGAGGGGAGCGAACAG